rnacentral:rRNA from 1 species
AUACGUAGGGUGCAAGCGUUGUUCGGAAUUACUGGGCGUAAAGCGUGCGUAGGCGGCUUUGUAAGUCCGUUGUGAAAUCCCACGGCUCAACUGUGGAACUGCAAUGGAUACUGCAAAGCUAGAGUUCGGGAGAGGCAAGCGGAAUUCCUGGUGAAGGGGUGAAAUCCGUAGAUAUCAGGAAGAACACCGGUGGCGAAGGCGGCUUGCUGGAACGCAACUGACGCUCAGGCACGAAAGCGUGGGGAGCAAACAGGAUUAGAUACCCCAGUAGUCC